UACGUAGGGUCCGAGCGUUGUCCGGAAUUAUUGGGCGUAAAGAGCUCGUAGGCGGUUUGUCGCGUCUGCUGUGAAAUCCCGAGGCUCAACCUCGGGCCUGCAGUGGGUACGGGCAGACUGGAGUGCGGUAGGGGAGAAUGGAAUUCCUGGUGUAGCGGUGGAAUGCGCAGAUAUCGGGAGGAACACCGGUGGCGAAGGCGGUUCUCUGGGCCUUACCUGACGCUGAGGAGCGAAAGCGUGGGGAGCGAACAGG
rnacentral:rRNA from 1 species